CAGGCCUAACACAUGCAAGUCGAGCGCGCCUUCGGGUGAGCGGCGGACGGGUUAGUAACGCGUGGGAACGUGCCCUUCUCUACGGAAUAGCCUCUGGAAACGGAGAGUAAUACCGUAUACGCCCUUUGGGGGAAAGAUUUAUCGGAGAAGGAUCGGCCCGCGUUAGAUUAGGUAGUUGGUGGGGUAACGGCCUACCAAGCCUACGAUCUAUAGCUGGUUUUAGGGGAUGAUCAGCAACACUGGGACUGAGACACGGCCCAGACUCCUACGGGAGGCAGCAGUGGGGAAUCUUAGACAAUGGGCGCAAGCCUGAUCUAGCCAUGCCGCGUGAGUGAAGAAGGCCUUAGGGUCGUAAAACUCUUUCGCCAGAGAUGAUAAUGACAGUAUCUGGUAAAGAAACCCCGGCUAACUCCGUGCCAGCAGCCGCGGUAAUACGGAGGGGGUUAGCGUUGUUCGGAAUUACUGGGCGUAAAGCGCACGUAGGCGGACUGGAAAGUUGGGGGUGAAAUCCCGGGGCUCAACCUCGGAACUGCCUCCAAAACUAUCAGUCUAGAGUUCGAGAGAGGUGAGUGGAAUUCCAAGUGUAGAGGUGAAAUUCGUAGAUAUUUGGAGGAACACCAGUGGCGAAGGCGGCUCACUGGCUCGAUACUGACGCUGAGGUGCGAAAGUGUGGGGAGCAAACAGGAUUAGAUACCCUGGUAGUCCACACCGUAAACGAUGAAUGCCAGUCGUCGGCAAGUAUACUUGUCGGUGACACACCUAACGGAUUAAGCAUUCCGCCUGGGGAGUACGGUCGCAAGAUUAAAACUCAAAGGAAUUGACGGGGGCCCGCACAAGCGGUGGAGCAUGUGGUUUAAUUCGAAGC
rnacentral:rRNA from 1 species